CAUGGCGAAUAACAUAUUUCCAUUAUAAGAUCAUAAUAAUAAUAAUAUUCCAAUCGCUAUAAUACAAUUUAAUUUGACAUACGUCAUUGGUCGAAUGUAAGCGGACCGAUAGGUUUGUCAAAUAACCUCGGGAACAUAUCAUAGUAAAUAAAUGAUCGGCACCGCUUAAAUUUUUUGAUUUUCCGUUAAUUUUAAUGUAUUUC